UUCAUACAUUUGUUCUUACAUACUUUUAUUUCUAGCAUGCAUUUGAUAUUUGUUUUGCAUCACUCAAAGAUUGGUAACAUGGAUGUUACAUACAUUUGUUCUUACAUACUUUUAUUUCUAGCAUGCAUUUGAUAUUUGUUUUGCAUCACUCAAAGAUUGGUAACAUGGAUGUUUAGAGAUUUUCCUCAAGGGUUUAGUUUUAAUUAAGUUAGGACCAUACCUUUGCAUUCUAAAAAAAAAGUUAAGUGUUA
rnacentral:lncRNA from 1 species